AGUGAACGCUGGCGGUAGGCCUAACACAUGCAAGUCGAACGGCCGCACAGUAAGAGCUUGCUCUUACGGGUGGCGAGUGGCGGACGGGUGCGGAAUACAUCGGAAUCUACUUUUUCGUGGGGGAUAACGUAGGGAAACUUACGCUAAUACCGCAUACGACCUCCGUGUGAAAGCAGGGGAUCUUCGGACCUUGCGCGAUUGAAUGAGCCGAUGUCGGAUUAGCUAGUUGGCGGGGUAAAGGCCCACCAAGGCGACGAUCCGUAGCUGGUCUGAGAGGGUGAUCAGCCACACGGGAAGUGAGACACGGUCCAGACUCCGACGGGAGGCAGCAGUGGGGAAUAUUGGACAAUGGGCGCAAGCCUGAUCCAGCCAUACCGCGUGGGUGAAGAAGGCCUUCGGGUUGUAAAGCCCUGUUGUUGGGAAAGAAAAGCAGCAGGUUAAUACCCCGCUGUUCUGACGGUACCCAAAGAAUAAGCACCGGCUAACUUCGUG
rnacentral:rRNA from 1 species